GACAAAAAAAGAAAAUCCCUAUUCCUCCUCAGCAUACCCCUUCUUCCUUCGUCCCCAUUGAUCCCCUUCCCCCCUCCACUCGUCUCCCAAAUCGCCAGCGAGCGCCAUGCCGCCGCCUCCCCUGCCCUCGCCGCCCCUGACCGGCUGACCCGACCUCCCCACUGUCUUUCCCUUCCACCUGGGCGCCACAGCGUUUCCCUUCCCGUCACCACGAAAUCCCGGAGGGACGAGGAGGGAGUUCGUCGCCUGAUCGAUCGGCCGAUCCACGCCGCCGGCCUCCCAAUCCUUCGCUGCCGCCAUGUUCAACAAGAUAAUCAAGAGGGGAAACCGCAAGGGCGCGCGCGGGGACAGUGCGGAGGUCGCCGCGCGCCCCGCAGCGCCCUCGUCAUCCUCCGGGAGCGGCGGCGGCGGCGCGGGGGGAGCCGCGCCCGUCACCGUCAACCACGCCUCCCGGGCCACAGCGCCUUCUCCGUCGUCGCCCACUUCUCCGCACGUCACGCCGUCCGCGUUUGCGACCAACCCGGCGGUGGGGGCGGCGUCACCGCCACUCCUCGAGCCUCUCCCGCUCCUCCGCGACGUCGCCGCCGCAGACCGUCCGGGCCUCAUCCUCCGCAAGCUCCGCCUCGUCGCGGCGCUCUUCGACCUCUCGGACUCGCUCAAGCACCCGCGAGAGAAGGAGGCCAAACGCCAGGCGCUCCUCGAGCUCGUAGAUUACGUGCAGGCUCCAGCUCAGGCCGCGGGCGCCAACGCGCCCACGCGCCUCCCGGACCACGUCCAGGAGGCGCUAGUCCUUGCCAUCUCUGCCAACAUCUUCCGCCCGCUGCCACCCGCGCUGCACGAGUCCGCCGCCGCGAUCGACCCCGGCGCCGCGCCCGACGACGACGAGGAGCCAUACCUGGACCCCUCCUGGCCACACCUCCAGCUCGUCUAUGAGCUCCUUCUCCGAUACGUUGUUUCGCCUGACACGGACACCAAGGUCGCCAAGCGGUAUGUGGACCAUGCUUUCGUCCUCCGCAUCCUCGACCUCUUUGACUCCGAGGAUCCGCGUGAGCGGGAAUACCUCAAGACCGUGCUCCACCGCAUCUAUGGCAAGUUCAUGGUACACCGACCAUUCAUCCGUAAGGCCAUCAACAAUGUGUUCUACCGGUUCAUCUUUGAGACUCAGCGCUACAAUGGCAUAGGGGAGCUCCUUGAGAUCCUUGGAAGCAUCAUUAAUGGAUUUGCCUUGCCAAUGAAGGAGGAGCACAAGCUAUUCCUUGCCCGUGCUCUCAUCCCCCUGCACAAGCCCAAAUCUGUUGUGAUCUACCAUCAGCAGCUAUCCUAUUGUAUUGUUGAGUUCGUUGAGAAGGACUACAAAUUAGCAGAUACUGUGAUUAGGGGUCUGCUCAAGUACUGGCCAGUCACAAAUUGCCAGAAGGAGGUGUUGUUUCUGGGGGAGCUUGAAGAAGUGCUCGAGGCAACACAGCCUGCAGAGUUCCAACGGUGCAUGGUGCCACUGUUUAAGCAGAUUGCCCGAUGCCUUAACAGUUCUCACUUCCAGUGGAUAUGCCUCAUUGCAAGUCCCAAAUCACAAUUUGCAUGUUGAGGAAAACAAGGGCUUCUUUGGUUGCUGCAUGACUCUGCCCUGCCCAAAGUCUCGGCCGGCCAAAUCGGCUGCCCAGAAAUUGGCCGCGCAUUUGCUGCAAAAUGAACUGUGUUUGGCCUCAUGAGCUGGGGCAAGCCAAAAUACGGUGGGAAUCCAAACAACAUCAGUUUUCUUGGUCAACAGACAGAUUUUGGCUUGGCAGUCAUGGACGUUCAUCCAAACCCACCCUUAAACUCUUAUACAAGGCAGUGUUAAUUAAUAGGAAAAAACGAAACGGGAUGCAUUGCUUUGUACAUUUUUUGUAACCUAGCAUAAAAAGUUCCAUUAAGUGUACCCAAAUGAGUUUUGAAUCAGUAGGACACCUUUGACAAUUACCAUUUUGCACUAGUACUUCUAGUACUAUCUUUAUUGGUCCUUGUCCGCGGGGUAAGGUAGCCCCCAGGUGUUUUGCUAAGAAGAAGACCUCAUACAGGUCGAGAAAAUCCUCCAACCCCUGCACACCAAUACAUAGUGGCACCAAAACCCAUUUGAAAACGACCACGCCCUGUGCCGUGAUCUGGGAAGUCAGAAAACACAUUCCAGGUUGAAGAAAUGCUCAAAUCAUUUUUGCAGUUUUUUUCAUCACUGUCUUUUUCUGUUUUUGGUCAGAAAACAUUCUUUCUGACACAGUGGAACACAAUGGCUGCUUUGAACCCGCGACUUGGUGACUCAGUGAGACACUUCUCACCACUGCACCAGGCCUGCCUUUCAUACAGUGGAACACACUAGGUGAUAAUUGAUUGUUUCCAGACAAUGUAGUACUUAAAGGCACAUUUAGAUCACACUUAUGGAGUCAUGAAAUGUUAGCUAUAUUCAUAACAGUCGAGCACUUAUGUUUCAUAAUUUUUUUAGUCUUGCAAUGUUGAAAUAUGUUACAGAACUUGGAUGCUAUGGGAUGGAAGAAUCUAAGCUGGGUGUAGAUGGAAAGGACUGGAAUAGAAUCUUCCUUUCCCUUUUUGUUUCUUCAUGUUAUUGGUUUAUGUCAGUGUAUCCAGCUUUUUGUGGCUUCUAUUUCCUUUUUGCAGCUAAGCUGCCUAAUAGCUUUAGAUGCACAUUAUCUGUAGCUUUUAGCAGUAGAAGCAUGCAAAUAUUGGACUCAAUAUGAGAUUUCUAAGCAGUACAAGCUGCCAUUUGCAGCAAUCAACUGGAGUAUGGAAAUGUGUUUGAACUUUGAAAUAUUUGAAAGAUACUAUGCAAUUACUUCUUUAAAUAUUGUACUAUCUAGAGGAUAGAUUACUCGCUUUCCACACUGCACUGGACCUGUAAACUACAAAUGUACCAUCUAUAAGUUCUGGAAGAAUGUACCAUCACUAUCUAUAAGGAGCCAGAUCUAUUGGUUCUUGUCUCAGUGAUUGCUAGUACAACCUUUGGUGUUAUGUUAAAUGUUAGCUGAUCUGGGAGAAAGUCAUGGGAGAGGCUAAAACAUGCAUAAGAUUACACAAGCUAUUAGACAAGACUGGUUCCCCAGUGAAAACUGUUUGUUGUGGGCAUAUUCAAAGAUAUCUAUGCUAGUGUUUCAUUAAGAUAGUCAUGUCCCUCAACAGCAGUUGAUAAAUAUCCGUUGUUUCGAGUUGAUCUGUUCUGUAGGAUCUUAGGUACCAAAUAUUUCAGUGUUAUUGACAAGACCAGUUCCCUCAUCUAGCAACAUGCAGCAUUUAUAGUUUUACAGAAUAUUUCUGUAUCUGUCACUGAAUUUUAGAAAAUGAUUGCAUCCAUCCAUUUAUCAUUCCAUUCUUCAAUUUCCAUGGUUUGCAUCAUAAAUAAGGCAACCAAAUUGCUUUUUUUUUUAAUUUUUAGGCACCUAAGUCUGGCAGUAGAUAAGUUCAGUAAAAAUAGCUGGACCACUCGCUUUGGUAAUAAUGAUUGUGUUGUUGUAGAUAACUCUUCUCUGGUUGUAACAUUUCUUGUACCGAAUUGACUCCAGAACUCGAUAUGCCUGAUGAGAACCCAAUAUUUCUCAUUAUGGUCUUGUGUAUGUUCCAAUUUUCCUAUACUGGGUCCAACCAUUUCCCUCUGCUGCAACGUUCUAAGAACAUCAAUGCUCUGUGGGUGUCAUAGACUGGAUGGUGAUGUUUACUGCAUGCUAAUUGGCCAGUGUUUCUUUUAGUUUGAUUAUUGUUGGAGCUGAUUUCUAGCCAUGCACAUUGAUUUUAGUAAACUGUGGCAUACUGGUUUCAUUUUCAUUAUAAUGCUUAUUUAUGAUAUUGGAUGACUAAAUAAACAAUAAAUUUUCCAUUCACACAAGCUUUUGAGCUAUGCUGCUGGCACAAACGAUUCAAAAUCCAUUUCUAUGUGAAUUAUUCUGGUUGGUAAGUGAACUUAUCUAGAUGAUCGAGUACCAGGACCUUCGUAUCAAAUAAUGAAACACCAUCUCACCAUGCAUCUCUGUGCCCUGUGUACAUUCUACAAUGACGACUCUUUCACUCACUGCAUUCGGUUACUGACAUUUGCUUGAGUACAAAUCUUUUCCUAUCCUUUUUACCAUUUUUUAUGGAUAUAUGGCCUGCUAUGUUAUUUCUGCAAAUAAAUAAUAUCUCAUGUUUGACUUCUUUUAGUUCAUUAUAAAUCCAUAAAACUAAAGAUUCAUGUUGGACUUGUUUUAAUUCGUUUUUCAUAAAUCCCAGGAAGCUUCUCUAUCAUUAACCAGUUUAUUUUAGUUUUUAGGAUUGUCACACUGCAUUUAAAUCACAUAUUCGGUACUGGUAGUAUGUUAAUUAAUCUUGGCUUGAAUCUCUUGACAGUUAUAUAAUAUAUUCCUGGUUCGUGUCUUCAAUUGAAGCGAAACCUUCCUUGAGCAUACACAACCAUCCAGGUACCCACUCAUGGAUGAGUGGGUAAUAUGACCUAUUCCCUCUGUUGCUUAACUUUUCUUAUCUAGUGCUGCAUUUGUCAAUAACCUGCUUUAGGAUUGGAGUCAGCUUGUACAAAUAUAUGAUACACUCACGACCCUUACGCAUCCCACCACACAGACACCCUCUCCCACAAAAAUGGGUGGCACAUAUAUAAUAGUGCACAACCAGUGUAACAUAUAAAGAAGUGCAAAAAUCCACUUUUAUACCUGUGUCUUAUGGCAUUUUGAGCAACAGAAAUUUAGUUGGUACUGUUUCCAAUUGCUGUCCAUGUGCUGCUGCUGUGCAAAUUACAUGACACUUGGCAGUGGUCAUGGUAGAGCCUAGGGAUCUUAGGGCGCGAUCAUGUGUGAUGGUGGGUCGGCGCUUCCACGAGUGACGUCGGGCAGGUGCCGUCGGAACGGGAAAGAGGGAGAGCAUGAACUCAGGGGGCAACGGCUGAUGUUGUCCUGUUUAACUGUUCCCUGGUUGCUGAACGCGCUUUGUUCUUGUGGAACAAUGAUCACAUUGUAAGCUUGAUAGCGCAAAAUCGUGGUGUUAUAUUUCCAAUUAUAUUUGAAGCGCUCGAGAGGAAUAUACAUAGCCACUGGAAUCAAGCAGUUCAUGGUCUCACUGCAAAUGUGCGCAAGAUGUUUCUGGACAUGGACAGUGAACUAUUUGAAGAGUGCCAGCAGCAGUAUAUGGAUAAACAAGCAAAAGCCAAAGAGAUGCAGGAGCAACGAGAAUCAGCAUGGAGACAAUUGGAAGCUGUUGUUGCUGCCAAGGCUGCUGGGGAUGACAUGGUUUUGGUCAACUAGAUGAUUGCUGCUCACUUAUUUCUUGAGCGCGGUGCUAGUUGCGGUCCUCUUAUAUCAACUUUGUUGACUUGGGACUAUCAGAUCCAUGUUCCUUGCAUCAGUGAAAAACAUGUGGGCCGAGUUUGAACACAUUGGUGGCCGCGACAGCCAAUCCACGCAGAAUUUCUGUGUCUAGUGAGGUCCUGCUAUGGUUCUGAGCCGUUCCUUUAUUCAGCCCCUCCUCUUCUGUUGCGUUAAUUUAUGAACAAUUGGACUCUUGUAUUAAUCCUUCAUUGUUUGCCCUAGUUUCGUACCCACAAUUGGGAAAAUUCAAGUAGUGAAAAUGACUCAGCUAGAUUGUAAGGUUUCUUUUAUUUGUAUUUACUUCUUUUCUCCUUGGGAGUUAUUUCAGUUCAUGUUGUUGUAUGGAGGUAACAGUACAAAUGGCAGAUAAAAGCCUUUUUAACCUAGUGUCCGGCAUGGUAGCAAUACAAUGUCAGAUCUUCUGUAGGAA